rnacentral:rRNA from 1 species
UGUGCCAGCAGCCGCGGUAAUACGUAGGGUGCAAGCGUUAAUCGGAAUUACUGGGCGUAAAGCGUGCGCAGGCGGUUUGUUAAGACAGAUGUGAAAUCCCCGGGCUCAACCUGGGAACUGCAUUUGUGACUGGCAAGCUAGAGUCUGGCAGAGGGGGGUGGAAUUCCGCGUGUAGCAGUGAAAUGCGUAGAUAUGCGGAGGAACACCGAUGGCGAAGGCAGCCCCCUGGGCCAACACUGACGCUCAUGCACGAAAGCGUGGGGAGCAAACAGGAUUAGAUACCCUGGUAGUCCACGCCCUAAACGAUGUCAACUAGUUGUUGGGGAUUCAUUUCCUUAGUAACGUAGCUAACGCGUGAAGUUGACCGCCUGGGGAGUACGGUCGCAAGAUUAAAACUCAAAGAAAUUGACGGGA